rnacentral:miRNA from 14 species
GUCUGGCCUAGAACUGGCCUCAGGAAAUGUUUAUUGAAUGAAUGAGUGAAUGAACAAAGGAACAUAUUUAGGCAGGUGCCUUCAUUGAAUUUGCUCACCCCAAG